rnacentral:pre_miRNA from 1 species
UGAACAUUCUCUAAGAACACCAUAUUAAAAUGUGGUCUUCUUAGAGAAUGUUCAGC